CCUUGCAGAAAUAUAUACUGGUAUUUAAAAAGUCCCAGUAUUUCCCAGUUAUGAUCCUAGAAAAUUCCAGAAUGUUAAAACCAGUCUUGGCUAUUCUAGUGUGGCCUAGGAAAUACCAGUUACUGAGAACUAGGCAUUUCUGAUAAUUUUUAAACAACUCAUCAAUUUCUAAGUUAUACUAGGAAUUGUAAUUUAUUUUCUGAGAUUUCUAAGACUUAAGAUUUUGCAAAAUUCCUAGUCUUUAGGAAUUACUUAGAAUUUAUCUUGUAGAACAAAAUCCUUAACAUCUGUGCUAAAUUCCUUGAAUCUUACAUAAAUUCCUAAAGACUAGGAAUUCUCUUUGUUGAAAGUAAACAAGUAGAUAAAGAAGGAAGAGAAUAAAAUUGAAAAUAAAAAUGUUUUUUUUUUAAAUAAAACAACAUAGGGCCUACUGAUCUAGAUCUAUUUAAUAAUAUUUUUCUAGGAUUACUAUUAUUAUUUAGAUUCUAAUUGAAAUUUAAUAAUAAAUUGACCUUAAUGGUCAACCUGCAUUUCUGACAAUUUUAUCAUUGGCCAUUUAAUUAAUAGAUAAUAGGAGUAUAUAAUCCAAAAAGAAAUAACAAAUAUACAGGCACUCCAAGUAAAUCAAAGACGUAUUAUUAUAAACCUUAAAAAAAUCAAUAAUUGACAUCUGAAGUAUGUAAUUUUUAUCAGUUGUGUAGAGCUAUUUUUAGCGCUGUCAAAUUGCAUCCACUGAUGUCAUGCUUCAGUGCACAGGCUGUGUGUAUAAACCACUUUAUACAUUAUACUGCCUGCUGACAUUUUUAUGGAGUGUGAUUUGAACAUAUGUAGAUCUAAUUAGGGGUGGAUUUAAGAUGAUAAUUAUUGCAUAGUUGAAAAUCCAAAGUGGCAAAUUGACUCUUGUGCAGAUUUUUUCACGUGUCAUAUUUGUGCAUUUCCAAAUUUUCACGAGUCAAAACCCGAAUCCCCGCGUCAAUCGAGAGUCCUGAAUUAAAGUAGGCUGACGGAUAUUAACGAUGAUAACUUAGUCUUUACUUAACCAGCGAACCUUUACGAUUAUACUCGAGCAAUAUCCGUAUAUAUACGCUAACCAAGACGAGCAUAAUUUCAUGACGUAUUGGAUACGUAUACUGAUGACGUAGCAACACAAUUGUUUUGGAAACUACUGUAGCAUUGUAUGAAAUUCAAGCGCUUGUUGGGCUUAAAAUAAUAGAUUUUUGAAAUAAAAUUCAACGAUAUAAUUGAAAUUAUUCAGUCAUUGUAUUGACGGCAAAAACAACAGAAGUACACGAAAUUUUGCGAAUCAAGCACAUGUUACUGACGUAGUACACAUGUUUAUUACGUAGAACACAGGUUUAUUGUGCGCGCAAUAUUCAAAGACGGCAGACACUUCGUCUCUUAUCAACAGUGAACUGAUAUCGUCUCCCCAAUAAAGACAUACAACGAGGAAGGUGAAAUAGCUCAAGCAAAUUAUCAGAAGAAGACCUUCAAAGCUGCAAUCGGUGAAAUUCACUAUAAGAAUUGGUACCACAAGGCCACAAAGGGAGGAGUUCAACUUACUCGUGGAUGAUGUUCAAAGCUGAGGAGAGUGAGAGCUUAAAUCUAUAAAACGGGUCAAAAACUUUUGAUAUAGAAACUGUCAUAAAUUCUUCAGUUAAUUGAAAGAGGGCAAGUUGUACAAAAUGCCAUGGAGCUAAAUAUACAUGGAGAAGAAACUGUGAUGUCACACAGUUAAAUUCAGUAUUGUGUUCAGAAUUGUGGCAGAAUUGUGUUCUUAUAAGUUAUCAUAUGUCGGGGAUUUUCAGAGAUUUGAUGCAUCCUGGGUAAAAAUAGCCAAAACACCGUCAUAUUGAAUUCCCGGAGGAAGAUGAAACAUUUUUUUGCUUAAAUAAGAAGCAAUAGUUAUUUAUUGUAAAAGGUACUAUACACACUUUUCUAUACAAAUAUUUCUCUGAUGAAAAUCUAUGUAGGGGUAUGUAAACAAUAAUUCAUGGAUAUCGUCCAAGUUUAACGAGAGUGCGAAAAUUGGAGACUAUCGGGAAAACCCAAUUAUCACCGAAGCCUGCAAAGGAUUGUGGGUCUGAAUCUGACUAUUAUCUAUUUUUAGAGCUUCCUAUCUGUUGUGUGUAUAUAUCUGUGAAAAUGCAAAGAAGUCGUUGGAUUACCAAAGAUCAACAUUUCAUUUGAUUACCAGAGAUCAUCAAUUCACUGGAUUACUGAGAUUCUCUGUAUGAAAGAUUUGAUGACAAGAAAAUUAUUAAACCGGCAAAAAUUGGAUCUUACAGCAAGGAUUUACUCAUUUCAGAAGACAGCAAUAGAAAAUGUAGGAGUUGCAUGUAAUACUGGAGGUUUCUUGCGUCAUGUUUUGUACUGUUUCAGUGACAUUUCUUAGACUGUUUAAGUGAUGUCCCUCAUUCAAUCAGUUAAGAAAAUGAUGAAAAGCAAAUUAAAAUCUAGGAGUGACCUAGUCAAGUAUUAUAAUGUUUUAACUUUUAGUGCUAAAUUCAAAGAGGUGUCACAUGUUACACUAUUUUAAAAAAGGAAUCUUAAGUCAAGUGUUAUUGCCAAAGCUCAUUGCAUUCCAGUAACUACAAUGAUAUAUCUAAAGAAGUGUGUCUAAACAAUACAAAAACAAUUAAACUGUAAGGAAAAUACUUUGUUUCAUAUGCAAUCAUGCUUUUUAUUAAAUUUAAUAGUUUGCUUAUGA